rnacentral:rRNA from 1 species
CCUACGGGUGGCAGCAGUGAGGAAUAUUGGUCAAUGGACGAGAGUCUGAACCAGCCAAGUAGCGUGAAGGAUGACUGCCCUAUGGGUUGUAAACUUCUUUUAUAUGGGAAUAAAACGUUCCACGUGUGGGAUUUUGUAUGUACCAUAUGAAUAAGGAUUGGCUAAACCCGUGCCAGCAGCCGCGGUAAUACGGAGGAUCCGAGCGUUAUCCGGAUUUAUUGGGUUUAAAGGGAGCGUAGGUGGAUUGUUAAGUCAGUUGUGAAAGUUUGCGGCGCAACCGUAAAAUUGCAGUUGAAACUGGCAGUCUUGAGUACAGUAGAGGUGGGCGGAAUUCGUGGUGUAGCGGUGAAAUGCUUAGAUAUCACGAAGAACUCCGAUUGCGAAGGCAGUUCACUGGACUGCAACUGACACUGAGGCUCGAAAGUGUGGGUAUCAAACAGGAUUAGAUACCCUGGUAGUC